UACGGGAGUGGCAAGCGUUAUCCGGAAUUAUUGGGCGUAAAGCGUCCGCAGGCGGUCUUGUAAGUCUGUUGUUAAAGCGUGGAGCUUAACUCCAUUUCAGCAAUGGAAACUGUAAGACUAGAGUGUGGUAGGGGCAGAGGGAAUUCCCGGUGUAGCGGUGAAAUGCGUAGAUAUCGGGAAGAACACCAGUGGCGAAGGCGCUCUGCUGGGCCAUAACUGACGCUCAUGGACGAAAGCCAGGGGAGCGAAAGGGAUUAGAUAUCCCUGUAGUCCUGGCCGUAAACGAUGAACACUAGGUGUCGGGGGAAUCGACCCCCUCGGUGUCGUAGCCAACGCGUUAAGUGUUCCGCCUGGGGAGUACGCACGCAAGUGUGAAACUCAAAGGAAUUGACGGGGGCCCGCACAAGCGGUGGAGUAUGUGGUUUAAUUCGAUGCAACGCGAAGAACCUUACCAGGGUUUGACAUCCUGCGAAUCUUUUGGAAACGAGAGAGUGCCUUCGGGAACGCAGUGACAGGUGGUGCAUGGCUGUCGUCAGCUCGUGUCGUGAGAUGUUGGGUUAAGUCCCGCAACGAGCGCAACCCACGUUGUUAGUUGCCAGCAUUUAGUUGGGCACUCUAGCGAGACCGCCGGUGAUAAACCGGAGGAAGGUGUGGAUGACGUCAAGUCAUCAUGCCCCUUACAUCCUGGGCUACACACGUACUACAAUGCUACGGACAAAGGGCAGCAAACUCGCGAGAGCUAGCAAAUCCCAUAAACCGUGGCUCAGUUCAGAUCGUAGGCUGCAACUCGCCUACGUGAAGGAGGAAUCGCUAGUAAUCGCAGGUCAGCAUACUGCGGUGAAUACGUUCCCGGGCCU
rnacentral:rRNA from 1 species